UACGUAGGGACCGAGCGUUGUCGAAUCAUUGGGCGUAAAGAGCGUGUAGGCGGCUAUUUAAGUCCUGCGUGAAAUCCUGCGGCUCAACCGCAGACGGUCGUGGGAAACUGGAUGGCUAGAGUGCGGGAGAGGAGAGUGGAAUUCCCGGUGUAGCGGUGAAAUGCGCAGAUAUCGGGAAGAACACCCGUGGCGAAGGCGGCUCUCUGGAACGCAACUGACGCUGAGACGCGAAAGCGUGGGGAGCAAACAGG
rnacentral:rRNA from 1 species